ACGGGUGAGUAAUGCCUAGGAAUCUGCCUGGUAGUGGGGGACAACGUUUCGAAAGGAACGCUAAUACCGCAUACGUCCUACGGGAGAAAGCAGGGGACCUUCGGGCCUUGCGCUAUCAGAUGAGCCUAGGUCGGAUUAGCUAGUUGGUGAGGUAAUGGCUCACCAAGGCGACGAUCCGUAACUGGUCUGAGAGGAUGAUCAGUCACACUGGAACUGAGACACGGUCCAGACUCCUACGGGAGGCAGCAGUGGGGAAUAUUGGACAAUGGGCGAAAGCCUGAUCCAGCCAUGCCGCGUGUGUGAAGAAGGUCUUCGGAUUGUAAAGCACUUUAAGUUGGGAGGAAGGGUUGUAGAUUAAUACUCUGCAAUUUUGACGUUACCGACAGAAUAAGCACCGGCUAACUCUGUGCCAGCAGCCGCGGUAAUACAGAGGGUGCAAGCGUUAAUCGGAAUUACUGGGCGUAAAGCGCGCGUAGGUGGUUCGUUAAGUUGGAUGUGAAAUCCCCGGGCUCAACCUGGGAACUGCAUCCAAAACUGGCGAGCUAGAGUAUGGUAGAGGGGUGGGUGGAAUUUCCUGUGUAGCGGU
rnacentral:rRNA from 1 species